rnacentral:rRNA from 1 species
GGUUUACCUGUGUGACUGCGUACCUUUUGUAUAAUGGGUCAGCGACUUAUAUUCUGUAGCAAGGUUAACCGUAUAGGGGAGCCGGAGGGAAACCGAGUCUUAACCGGGCGUUAAGUUGCAGGGUAUAGACCCGAAACCCGGUGAUCUAGCCAUGGGCAGGUUGAAGGUUGGGUAACACUAACUGGAGGACCGAACCGACUAAUGUUGAAAAAUUAGCGGAUGACCUGUGGCUGGGGGUGAAAGGCCAAUCAAACCGGGAGAUAGCUGGUUCUCCCCGAAAGCUAUUUAGGUAGCGCCUCGUGAAUUCAUCUCCGGGGGUAGAGCACUGUUUCGGCUAGGGGGCCAUCCCGGCUUACCAACCCGAUGCAAACUGCGAAUACCGGAGAAUGUUAUCACGGGAGACACACGGCGGGUGCUAACGUCCGUCGUGAAGAGGGAAACAACCCAGACCGCCAGCUAAGGUCCCAAAGUCAUGGUUAAGUGGGAAACGAUGUGGGAAGGCCCAGACAGCCAGGAUGUUGGCUUAGAAGCAGCCAUCAUUUAAAGAAAGCGUAAUAGCUCACUGGUCGAGUCGGCCUGCGCGGAAGAUGUAACGGGGCUAAACCAU